rnacentral:rRNA from 1 species
CCUCCUUUCUUCCUCCUUUCUUCCUCUUUUUCCCUUUCCUUCCUCCUGCCCCCGCCCCGUCGCGUGCGGGAUGAAGGUUCUAUGGAUCGUAAACCUCUUUUAUAAGGGAAUAAAGUGCGGGACGUGUCCCGUUUUGUAUGUACCUUAUGAAUAAGGAUCGGCUAACUCCGUGCCAGCAGCCGCGGUAAUACGGAGGAUCCGAGCGUUAUCCGGAUUUAUUGGGUUUAAAGGGUGCGUAGGCGGAAUGCCAAGUCAGCGGUAAAAUCGCGGGGCUCAACCUCGCUCCGCCGUUGAAUCUGGCGUUCUUGAGUGGGCGAGAAGUAUGCGGAAUGCGUGGUGUAGCGGUGAAAUGCAUAGAUAUCACGCAGAACUCCGAUUGCGAAGGCAGCAUACCGGCGCCCAACUGACGCUGAAGCACGAAAGCGUGGGUAUCGAACAGGAUUAGAUACCCGAGUAGUC